rnacentral:rRNA from 1 species
CCUACGGGAGGCAGCAGUGGGGAAUAUUGGGCAAUGGGCGCAAGCCUGACCCAGCAACGCCGCGUGAAGGAAGAAGGCUUUCGGGUUGUAAACUUCUUUUCUCAGGGACGAAGCACGUGACGGUCCCUGAGUACUACGCCACGGCUACCUACGUGCCAGCAGCCGCGGUAAUACGGAGGGUGCGGGCGUUCAUCGGAAUUACUGGGCGUAAAGCUCUCGUAGGCGGUAUGUCAAGGCAAGGGUGAAAUCCCCGCGCUCAACGUGGGAACUGCCUUUGAAACUGGCAAACUGGAGUGUGUGAGAGGAUAGUGGAAUGCCAGGUGUAGGAGUGAAAUCCGUAGAUAUCUGGAGGAACAUCAGUGGCGAAGGCGACUAGCUGGAACAUAACUGACGCUGAGGAGCGAAAGCGUGGGUAGCAAACAGGAUUAGAUACCCCUGUAGUC